UACGGAGGGUGCGAGCGUUGUCCGGAAUCACUGGGCGUAAAGCGCACGUAGGCGGACUCUUAAGUCGGUGGUGAAAUCCUGGAGCUCAACUCCAGAACUGCCUUCGAUACUGAGAGUCUCGAGUCCGGGAGAGGUGAGUGGAACUGCGAGUGUAGAGGUGAAAUUCGUAGAUAUUCGCAAGAACACCAGUGGCGAAGGCGGCUCACUGGCCCGGUACUGACGCUGAGGUGCGAAAGCGUGGGGAGCAAACAGG
rnacentral:rRNA from 1 species